GAUGAACGCUGGCGGCGUGCCUAAUACAUGCAAGUCGAGCGAAUGGAUUAAGAGCUUGCUCUUAUGAAGUUAGCGGCGGACGGGUGAGUAACACGUGGGUAACCUGCCCAUAAGACUGGGAUAACUCCGGGAAACCGGGGCUAAUACCGGAUAACAUUUUGAACCGCAUGGUUCGAAAUUGAAAGGAGGCUUCGGCUGUCACUUAUCGAUGGACCCGCGACGCAUUAGCUAGUUGGUGAGGUAACGGCUAACCAAGGCAACGAUGCGUAGCCGACCUGAGAGGGUGAUCGGCCACACUGGGACUGAGACACGGCCCAGACUCCUACGGGAGGCAGCAGUAGGGAAUCUUCCGCAAUGGACGAAAGUCUGACGGAGCAACGCCGCGUGAGUGAUGAAGGCUUUCGGGUCGUAAAAUUCUGUUGUUAGGGAAGAACAAGUGCUAGUUGAAUAAGCUGGCACCUUGACGGUACCUAACCAGAAAGCCACGGCUAACUACGUGCCAGCAGCCGCCGUAA
rnacentral:rRNA from 1 species